rnacentral:rRNA from 1 species
AACGAACGCUGGCGGCAGGCUUAACACAUGCAAGUCGAGCGCCCCGCAAGGGGAGCGGCAGACGGGUGAGUAACGCGUGGGAACAUACCCUUUCCUGCGGAAUAGCUCCGGGAAACUGGAAUUAAUACCGCAUACGCCCUACGGGGGAAAGAUUUAUCGGGGAAGGAUUGGCCCGCGUUGGAUUAGCUAGUUGGUGGGGUAAAGGCCUACCAAGGCGACGAUCCAUAGCUGGUCUGAGAGGAUGAUCAGCCACAUUGGGACUGAGACACGGCCCAAACUCCUACGGGAGGCAGCAGUGGGGAAUAUUGGACAAUGGGCGCAAGCCUGAUCCAGCCAUGCCGCGUGAGUGAUGAAGGCCUUAGGGUUGUAAAGCUCUUUCACCGGAGAAGAUAAUGACGGUAUCCGGAGAAGAAGCCCCGGCUAACUUCGUGCCAGCAGCCGCCGUAAGAC